AAAUCCACAUAUUUUCACGCCAGAAAUAAUUCUAGCUUGAAUUUCCUCUCAUAGCUUCUGCCUACCUGGAAUUCUGUGUCAUCAUUGUUCCAAAUAGACUAUAAUAUCUAUCCCUAACCCCAGCCAGCUGUUGCCCUUAGAUCUUUAUCUAUCUAAUAAUUCAUGAUGGCCUUUGCCUUGAACUUUUUGUUCGUUUUUUGUUCUGUUACUUUCUUCCUUUAAUCCACUUUAUAAUUCCUUAAGUCCUUGUAGAAAUAUAAAUUAGUAAUCUAGCUUUAUCUUUUUUGGUUUUUUGUUUGAAUUAUCAAUUUUUCAUGCAUUAGUCUGUCAAAAAAAAAGUGUUAGUAUGAUACUGUGAGUCUGUGACUUUCUAUUGUUGCUUGUCAAAUUAGACUCAGUUAAUUUGGUAAAAAGCAAAAGAGAGAAGGAGAAGAAUCUUUCAGCCGUAUAAACUAUAAAGGGGUGCCUGUUACUGGAUUCAGCUUCCUAAAUCCUAAUGAUGUAAGCUUUGUGGGCUAGAAUGUGUACACCAUGGCAUGUGCUGCAAAACCCUCAUUUUUAGGUUUUGAGCUCCGAGCUGUUGGAGGAAUUGCACGCUUUGCAGUCUAAAGCUGCUCAGGAAACUAAUGGUAGCAAAGCAAAAGAAAAGGCCUGGCUCUUUCUCAUUAUGAUUUUUUUCAUUUCAAUAACCAGUAAGUGGUUUUGUCAUGUGAACCCCUUUACUGCAUAUUCAACACAAAAGAGAAACAUUUUUGUAUAUUGGAUCAAGGUAUUGUAAUAGCUAGUACUAGUCUAUGGACAUGCUUCUUUUUCUUUUAUGUUAAAGUUUCUUUUCUUUUUUGGAGUGGGGGAAGGGGUGUCUAAGUUGAUUUAGUGUGUUUAGAUACCAGUUGUGAGUGCAAUGGGAAAAUUUAUGUUUACAUUUUGUCUCAGAAUAAGUGCUAAUGUUCGUUUGCCUUGGUGUCAACAGAUAUCCAAACAUAUAUAGGUUGCAAAGAUUUGGGAACACAUAUACAUACUCUGAUACAUAUCUAUGGUCAUGAUUUAUGACAAAGGAGACUCAACAGGAAGGAAAAUCUUCAGGGGGAGGAAGCAAGCAUUCAGAUGCUGCAGAACCAUCUUUCACAAUGAAAGCCAUGGCAA